rnacentral:rRNA from 1 species
CCUACGGGGGGCUGCAGUCGAGAAUCUUCGGCAAUGGGCGCAAGCCUGACCGAGCGACGCCGCGUGCGGGAUUAAGGUCUUCGGAUUGUAAACCGCUGUCGGAGGGGAUGAAAUGCAGCGGGGUUCUCCCCGUUGUUUGACAGAGCCUCGGAGGAAGCACGGGCUAAGUUCGUGCCAGCAGCCGCGGUAAUACGAACUGUGCGAACGUUAUUCGGAAUCACUGGGCUUAAAGGGUGCGUAGGCGGUUCGUUAAGUCAGGUGUGAAAUCCCUCGGCUCAACCGGGGAAUUGCGCUUGAAACUAGCGGGCUGGAGUGAGGCAGGGGUGUGUGGAACUUCCGGUGGAGCGGUGAAAUGUGUAGAUAUCGGAAGGAACGCCGGUGGCGAAAGCGGCACACUGGGCCUUGUCUGACGCUGAGGCACGAAAGCCAGGGGAGUGAAC